UACAGAGGGUGCGAGCGUUAAUCGGAAUUACUGGGCGUAAAGCGCGCGUAGGCGGCUUUGCAAGUCGGGUGUGAAAUCCCCAGGCUUAACCUGGGAACUGCAUUCGAGACUGCAUUGCUAGAGUAUGGGAGAGGGAAGUGGAAUUUCCGGUGUAGCGGUGAAAUGCGUAGAUAUCGGGAGGAACAUCGGUGGCGAAAGCGACUUCCUGGACCGAUACUGACGCUCAUGUGCGAAAGCGUGGGGAGCAAACAGG
rnacentral:rRNA from 1 species